GGGGUUGUGGCUCAGAGGUAGAGCGCUCGCCUAGCAUGUGUGAGGCACUGGGGUCAAUCCUCAGCACCACA
rnacentral:tRNA from 1 species